rnacentral:rRNA from 1 species
CCUACGGGAGGCAGCAGUGAGGAAUAUUGGUCAAUGGACGCAAGUCUGAACCAGCCAUGCCGCGUGCAGGAAGACGGCCCUAUGAGUUGUAAACUGCUUUUGUACGAGGGUAAACGCAGAUACGCGUAUCUUUCUGCAAGUAUCGUACGAAUAAGGAUCGGCUAACUCCGUGCCAGCAGCCGCGGUAAUACGGAGGGUUCAAGCGUUAUCCGGCUUUAUUGGGUUUAAAGGGUGCGUAGGCGGUCGGAUAAGUUAGAGGUGAAAUCCCGAGGCUCAACCUCGGAAUUGCCUCUGAUACUGGUCGGCUAGAGAGUAGUUGCGGUAGGCGGAAUGUAUGGUGUAGCGGUGAAAUGCUUAGAGAUCACACAGAACACCGAUUGCGAAGGCAGCUUACCAAGCUACUUCUGACGUUGAGGCACGAAAGCGUGGGGAGCAAACAGGAUUAGAUACCCGAGUAGUC